rnacentral:rRNA from 1 species
AUUGAACGCUGGCGGCAUGCCUUACACAUGCAAGUCGAACGGCAGCGCGGACUUCGGUCUGGCGGCGAGUGGCGAACGGGUGAGUAAUACAUCGGAACGUACCCUGUUGUGGGGGAUAACUAGUCGAAAGAUUAGCUAAUACCGCAUACGACCUGAGGGUGAAAGUGGGGGACCGCAAGGCCUCACGCAGCAGGAGCGGCCGAUGUCUGAUUAGCUAGUUGGUGGGGUAAGGGCCCACCAAGGCGACGAUCAGUAGCUGGUCUGAGAGGACGAUCAGCCACACUGGGACUGAGACACGGCCCAGACUCCUACGGGAGGCAGCAGUGGGGAAUUUUGGACAAUGGGGGCAACCCUGAUCCAGCAAUGCCGCGUGUGUGAAGAAGGCCUUCGGGUUGUAAAGCACUUUUGUCCGGAAAGAAAUCGCGCUGGUUAAUACCUGGCGUGGAUGACGGUACCGGAAGAAUAAGCACCGGCUAACUACGUG